rnacentral:rRNA from 1 species
GACGAACGCUGGCGGCGUGCCUAAUACAUGCAAGUCGAGCGGACAGAUGGGAGCUUGCUCCCUGAUGUUAGCGGCGGACGGGUGAGUAACACGUGGGUAACCUGCCUGUAAGACUGGGAUAACUCCGGGAAACCGGGGCUAAUACCGGAUGCUUGAUUGAACCGCAUGGUUCAAUUAUAAAAGGUGGCUUUUAGCUACCACUUACAGAUGGACCCGCGGCGCAUUAGCUAGUUGGUGAGGUAACGGCUCACCAAGGCAACGAUGCGUAGCCGACCUGAGAGGGUGAUCGGCCACACUGGGACUGAGACACGGCCCAGACUCCUACGGGAGGCAGCAGUAGGGAAUCUUCCGCAAUGGACGAAAGUCUGACGGAGCAACGCCGCGUGAGUGAUGAAGGUUUUCGGAUCGUAAAACUCUGUUGUUAGGGAAGAACAAGUACCGUUCGAAUAGGGCGGUACCUUGACGGUACCUAACCAGAAAGCCACGGCUAACUACGUGCCAGCCGCCGCGGUAAUACGG